UACGUAGGGUGCAAGCGUUGUCCGGAAUUAUUGGGCGUAAAGAGCUCGUAGGCGGUCUGUCGCGUCUGCUGUGAAAACUCGGGGCUUAACCCCGGGCCUGCAGUGGGUACGGGCAGACUAGAGUGCGGUAGGGGAGACUGGAAUUCCUGGUGUAGCGGUGAAAUGCGCAGAUAUCAGGAAGAACACCAAUGGCGAAGGCAGCUCGCUGGAACGGUACUGACGCUGAGGCGCGAAAGCGUGGGGAGCGAACAGG
rnacentral:rRNA from 1 species